rnacentral:sRNA from 12 species
GAGAGGAGGUUCCCUAAUGAUGUGAAGCAUCAUUUUCUAAUGGGGACCGACGAAAUGCCGCCGAAGCUUUAGCUGAGGGGAUAUGCCGGAUG